rnacentral:sRNA from 1 species
UUUUUCUUAUUAAUAUAUCACCGGAAACAUUUAUUUCCCCGUCAUUUACAAAAAAUAAAUUCUAAUAGAACGUAAAAAAUUUCAUGCAUCACCGAGUUUCCAAACUAGGAUAUUCUACUAUAUUAUUUGGGAAGUAUAUUUUAAAUGUAACCUUAUUUUUUGUAAGUAAUUACAUAGGUAUGCCAUUAGAAAUAAAAUUUUAAAGAGUAAAUUAAUUCAUCUCUUUAAGAAUUAAAAAGUCAAAUACUAAUUUAAUUAAUUAAAUUUAAU